rnacentral:tRNA from 1 species
CAAAUUAAAGCUUAAAUAAAAGUAUUUCAUUUACAUUGAAAAGAUAUUAAAUUAAUUAAUUAAUUUGAG